rnacentral:rRNA from 1 species
GUGCUUAAACAUGCAAGUCGAACGCUGAAGCCUGGCUUUUGUUGGGUGGAUGAGUGGCGAACGGGUGAGUAACACGUGAGUAACCUGCCCCCUUCUUUGGGAUAACGCCCGGAAACGGGUGCUAAUACUGGAUAUUCACUGGCCUUCGCAUGGGGGUUGGUGGAAAGGGUUUUCUGGUGGGGGAUGGGCUCGCGGCCUAUCAGCUUGUUGGUGGGGUGAUGGCCUACCAAGGCUUUGACGGGUAGCCGGCCUGAGAGGGUGACCGGUCACAUUGGGACUGAGAUACGGCCCAGACUCCUACGGGAGGCAGCAGUGGGGAAUAUUGCACAAUGGGCGCAAGCCUGAUGCAGCGACGCCGCGUGAGGGAUGGAGGCCUUCGGGUUGUGAACCUCUUUCGCUCAUGGUCAAGCCGCAACUGUGGGUUGUGGUGAGGGUAGUGGGUAAAGAAGCGCCGGCUAACUACGUGCCAGCAGCCGCGGUAAU